rnacentral:lncRNA from 1 species
AAGUAGUAUAAGGCUUCGAUACUUCAAUGUGCUAAUUGCCACUUCUUGUCAAGCCAUUAUCACAUGAUUGAGCACGCGUUAGGGUUUUCGUCGCUAAGAAACUCAAACGAAUCAGACGUCUGUGAUGAGUAGUACGGAUGGAAAUCGGGUGGCGGAGGUUCAAACGAAUCAGACGUCUGUGAUGAGUAGUACGGAUGGAAAUCAGGUGGCGGAGGUACACUAAUUGUACCCGGAUGGGUGCCGGGAUGCAUAUACGCAUAGGAAUACUGUGGGGCAUGGUAUGAGGCACCAUAACUUGUACUAGGGUAUGCAACAUUGCUACUCACGGCAUACACUGGGGGUGCAUAGUAAGUUGCUGGGUAGUUAUACACAUGAUCGUGACGUGGAUGGAUGUGAUUUG